UACGUACCGUCCAAACGUUAUUCGGAAUCACUGGGCUUAAAGAGUUCGUAGGCGGCCCAGAAAGUUGGGUGUGAAAUCCCUCGGCUCAACCGAGGAAUUGCGCUCAAAACUACUGGGCUAGAGGGAGAUAGAGGUGAGCGGAACUGAUGGUGGAGCGGUGAAAUGCGUUGAUAUCAUCGAGGAACACCGGAGGCGAAGGCGGCUCACUGGCCCAUAACUGACGCUGAGGCACGAAAGCGUGGGGAGCAAACAGG
rnacentral:rRNA from 1 species